rnacentral:pre_miRNA from 1 species
UAGGUAGUUUGAUGUUGUUGGGGUUGACUUCCUGGCUCGACAACAAGAAACUGCCUUGA